rnacentral:tRNA from 1 species
GGGGGUGAAUGCGCUCCGGUGGGCGUCCCGAUCUUCAAAAUCGGUGACAGGCCGCUCUGCGCGGCUUGUGGUGUGUUCGACUCACAUUCGCUCCCG